rnacentral:lncRNA from 1 species
UAGGAUGUGUACAUAGAGAGAAAGAGAUUUAUCAUAAGGAAGCAGCUCACAAUUAUGGAGGCUGGCAAAUCCAGAAUCUGCAGCGUGGGCCAGCAGGCUGAAGACGCAGGAGAGCUAAUGGUGCAGCUUCAAGGGAAACCAUGCUUGUUCUUCUGGACAAAUCCCUCCAACUCUGUCACCUUCAGGACCUUGAAGCUUAUUUCCAGCCAUCUCAGACAAGAGUUGGAAAUGAGGUAAGGACUCAGAUACCUCCUCACUGAGGAGCGACCCUGGCUGAGCAGUGGAUGAAAUGUGUACUCAGACACAGGUAUGCAGUGUAAGAGCAGCUAGGGGACUGCCCAGCUCAAGUGGCCAAAGUGCAGCCCUGAGAAGCUGGAGCUGCUUGCUUUUAUUCAGUGCAGGCACAAUGCCAAAAGCCUGGAGCAAACACUGGAGGUAAUUAACAUUUAUUGUUCCCCUUUCAGGGAAGGUCAUGGGCGUAGAUGAUCAAAGGUCAGUUCCUGGUCAACAGAAGUAAACAAGCCUGUUUAAGAUAAAUUCCCCCACACUCCCUCGUACCUACUCCUUGCCCUCUGCCUCAGGGUUAUAGAACAGCUGUCUUUAGCUAUUCUCCUCCAAAGCUAUGCAGAGCCUUCCAACCUUUCAGAAGGCCUGCUCCUUUCCCUAUAGCUUCUCCCACCACUCUGACCAAUCUCCUACACUUGUGGCCCCCUUUUUCUUCCCUUGCCUCAUGAGGAGCUCUGACAAGUUGAUGAAUGAUGUCCCUGCUCCUGUGUUUCUACCCAGCUUCAAGGGAAACCAUGCUUGCUCUUCUAGACAAAUCCCUCCAACUCUGUCACCUUCAGGACCCUGAAGCUUAUUUCCAGCCAUCUCAGAUAAGGGUUGGGAAUGAGGUAAAGACUCAGAUCUCUCCUGAGGAGCAGACAUUAAACUGGCUGGGUUACCUUCGGCCCCUCCCCUGGCUUCUUGCUCUGCGUGGCUCCCAGAUUCAGUCUUGUUGGAGCCUCCCCAUCCCUGGCUGAGAUCCUCCCUGUACUUCUGGCCAAUAUCUGGGCCACAGCACUAGCCCAGCCUCCUGCCCCCUGCCCCCUGCCCUUGAUCUUGUCCCAGUCUCCUCCCAAACCUUAUCUGAGCACAAGUGGCAUUGCCUACACUUCUGUGUGAGAAGGUCCCCGCCCACUCUGCACAAGCCCACGUUUGCCUCCUUCACAAGCCUUGCUGGCCUGCGGGGACAGACGCUGGCCUCUGCAACCCUGGGGCUGCUGAUCACAUAGCUGAAGCAGAGACCUUAUUGUAAGCAACUUUUCAUGUGUGUGUGUAUGCCUUUUUCUUGGGAGAGGGUCUGUGGUUUAUAUCAGCUCUUCAAAAAGUCCACAUGGGUUAGGAAUCAUGAAAGCAUUGCAUGCUUUUUUGUGGUUGGUGGGUGACGAUCCAUUUCUUAGAAUGUAGGUUCCCAUUCAUUUAUCAAAUAUUUACUGAGCACCUACCAUGUAUCAACUGCUGCUCUAGGCACUGAGGAUACAGCAGUGAACAAAACAGAUGGUAGAAUGACUUUCUAGGAGCCAGAGACAGCCUGAGGCUCUAAUGGGCACUGAAGAAACACCACAGAUUCUAAGUUGUGAACGCUGUGCAGUUCUGAGCUGUGAACCCUAUGAAGGUUUUACUAACAAGUUAUUGAUGACGGCAGGCACAGCAGUGUUGAUGACAAUGGCCACAGCAGGAGCCAGAUAAACUCCCAGAUAAACCUCUCACUGCUGAACCAAGGGGAGGGGCCGUGGCCUGUGACAGGCAGCCAUGGUGAGGAGGCAGAGGAGAACUGAGGUGUCCCCACCCCAUGCCAGCCCAAAUAACUGGCUCCCCCAGCCCUCGCAACUCAUGCCAGCUGGAGGGCUGCAGAUCCCAGGCCAGGCCAAGACACAGGCUGGGCUCCAGUCACCCUUCCCCAACCUGGAAACCAGAACUAGUCUUCUUUCCAGACUCAGGACAGGUAAGGCUUCCCAGCACAGGUGUUCCUGACAGCGUGUCUGUGUGAGAGAGCAUGGAGCAGGGGGUGCAGCCAAGAGGGAGCCCCUGGGACAGGGGGCAGAAGGAACAAGGUCUCAAGUGCUGCUGCAGGCUCCUAGGCAGCUCAGCACUGGAGGCAUAUGCUGCAGAGGCCGUGGCCAGAUGGAGAGGGCCUGGCCAGAACGGGAUCUCCUCUUCACGAAUCUGAGGGCUGCCCACACUAGAGAGGUUCUAGGUAUUUGGAGAGUCCCUGGCGGGUCAGGGGAAAUGGAGAAGAGGGAGAGUGAGAAACAAAACUUGCCAAGACCCAUUGGAUGCAUCUGGGAAAGAGGCAAGAGCCCAGGCGAGGCUCCCUCUGCACUGCCCAUGCCUUGGAGUAACCCACCUCCAGGAACUUGCACACCCUCCUGCCCCACAUACAGGUGCA